rnacentral:sRNA from 12 species
ACUGUGGAGUGCUAUACAAACUGUAGUAGCUAUAGGCAAGGCGGAGCACGUUGAAACAGUAA